UACGUAGGGCGCGAGCGUUGUCCGGAAUUAUUGGGCGUAAAGAGCUCGUAGGCGGCCUGUCGCGUCGGUUGUGAAAGCCCGGGGCUCAACCCCGGGUCUGCAGUCGAUACGGGCAGGCUAGAGUUCGGUAGGGGAGAUCGGAAUUCCUGGUGUAGCGGUGAAAUGCGCAGAUAUCAGGAGGAACACCGGUGGCGAAGGCGGUUCUCUGGGCCUUACCUGACGCUGAGGAGCGAAAGCGUGGGGAGCGAACAGG
rnacentral:rRNA from 1 species